rnacentral:lncRNA from 1 species
CUCAUCUUGAUCAGAAGUCGGACAGUGUUCAAGAAGCGAAAUCAAAGACAGAGCAAAUGAAUAAGAGAUGAAAGUAAAGUGUCAAGGAGGGCAGAGGAAGGAAGGAAGAAAGGAUAAAAUAACAGAUGGUAAGAUGGAGCAAAAUCCAGGGUGAUGUUAAAAUGGACAGGCAAAGGGAUGAGAAGUGGUUGAUGAAAGAGGAUGAACAAGAAAGAAGGAGAGAAAAGAAAGAGAAGGGAGAGAUUUGGCACGGGCAGGGGAUUAGACAGAUGAACUGCAGUCACCAGAUGCCCAAGCCUCAAAACUAGAAACAUGUGGAGACAUCAACACAAUAAAUGUUUAAAAAAAUA